rnacentral:rRNA from 1 species
GCGGCAGGCUUAAUACAUGCAAGUCGUGGGGCAGCAUGAGUAGCAAUACUUGAUGGCGAACCGGCAAACGGGUGAGGAACACGUACACAACCUUCCUUCAAGCGGGGAAUAGCCAGAGAAAUUUGGAUUAAUACCCCAUAAUAUAUUUGAUAAGGCAUCUUAUUAAUAUUAAAGCUUCGGCACUUGAUGAUGGGUGUGCGGCUGAUUAGAUAGUUGGCGGGGUAACGGCCCACCAAGUCUACGAUCAGUAGCUGAUGUGAGAGCAUGAUCAGCCACACGGGCACUGAGACACGGGCCCGACUCCUACGGGAGGCAGCAGUAAGGAAUAUUGGACAAUGGACGAAAGUCUAAUCCAGCCAUGCCCGCGUGAAGGAUUAAGGUCCUCUGGAUUGUAAACUUCUUUUAUAUGGGACGAAAAAAGGGCAUUCUUGUUCACUUGACGGUACCAUAUGAAUAAGCACCGGCUAACUCCGUG